rnacentral:misc_RNA from 1 species
CCGAGUUAUCAACUCCCAAACCCCUGUGAACUACCUUUUGUUGCCUCGGCGGGAUCGCCCCGGCGCCUCCGGGCCCGGAUCCAGGCGCCCGCCGCAGGACCCAAACUCUUGUUUUCUAUAUGAAUCUUCUGAGUGACACAAGCAAAUAAAUUA